rnacentral:sRNA from 2 species
AAUUGUAUUUUUGCCCAGCUUAAAAUGGAAUCAGGUGGGAAUCCUGAACUGUCGCGCAACUGUGAUGAAUUUUUCUUCUAAGUCAGGUCUUUUUUAAGUAUUAAAUGCUUUCGCGAUUGAGGCUAAACCUUCAUUCAUCGAAGCAUG